CAUCCUGGACACGCCAGUCACGGAUCAAACUCAAUAAAAGCAAAGCUGCCGGAGUCUGGACAUUGACAGGGUUUGCAAGACCACACAGUUGCUUAGGAAACUAAGGUUCUGAUCGCUGCCUAAUUAUCUUCAACAUGAGGAAGGUGCAAGUUCUUCUGAGUCUUCUCGUCAUCAUUCUCCAUCACUAUGCUGACGCAGCCACGUGCGCAUGUGCAACUGAUGCGGUAAUAGUGCGCGACGCUCCUGGAGUCUGGAACGAUCAAGUCCACGUCAUGUACCCUGGGUGGUGCCUUCAGUACCUGGGUGUGACCAUUGAAGCUGGAGAUUACUAUUGGAGGAGGAUCCGUCUCGGCGAUGGUGACAUUGCUUAUGUUCCUUCCAACUGGGUGACCAUCGAGUCAUGCUGAGGUGGCAGUUAGAGGAACUUCGCCCAUUGACCCUGGACUCCAGGGCCUGUCCACAACAUCUCGACCUUCUGGGCGCCAGUUUCUUUACAAGACACUCAGCGACCGACUUUCUACUCAGGUCUCUGCCAAAAGUCACGUGAGCUCCAAUGAUGACUCCUGGUAGACAUGUGAUCAAGUUACUUUUGUCACACCCACCAUUUUGUUAGUUCGGGUAGAGCCCGUCAGGCCAGAAAUGCAGUGAAAAAUAAAGCUGUUCAACAAACAAAAAA